AGAUGACACUUUUAUUUUCUCCCUUCCAGCCCGGCUCCCCCCCUUCCUGGCCCUCCUGUCUCAGGACCCCCGUCUGGACUAGAUGCCUUUGAUGACAACAUCUCGGUCACAGAGCCCCCACACACCCCAAACCCACAUACCUGAUGAACAAGGCCCCCCUACACUCCAUACCUUAUACCGGAUGAUCGUCUGCCACCUGAGUUACCUCAAUGACAUUUUGCCUAUAAUCGGUUCUUCCAAUCCCACCAGAAUUUUGUUAGCACUAAAACUAGAAGAAGUAUCACACCAUACAUUAACAUAACAUUGUUGCAAAAAUUUAAUGUACUUUCAUUUCUAUCAACAAAGUGUAACGUUUAACUAACAGUUGAUAGUCAGUAAGAGAUUUACAAAGAUGUUCUUUUCUGCAGUAAAAUCCUUGUGUUUUUAAUGUUUAAAAUGUUUGAAUUAAAUAUGUACAUGAUGCAGGUAUACUAUGUAUACUACAGUAGAGGACUCUGAACUACAUGUAAGCUUAAGUCGUGACCCAAUACACCCCUUUCCACUAAA